rnacentral:rRNA from 1 species
GAUGAACGCUGGCGGCGUGCCUAAUACAUGCAAGUCGAGCGAACGGACGAGAAGCUUGCUUCUCUGAUGUUAGCGGCGGACGGGUGAGUAACACGUGGAUAACCUACCUAUAAGACUGGGAUAACUUCGGGAAACCGGAGCUAAUACCGGAUAAUAUUUUGAACCGCAUGGUUCAAAAGUGAAAGACGGUCUUGCUGUCACUUAUAGAUGGAUCCGCGCUGCAUUAGCUAGUUGGUAAGGUAACGGCUUACCAAGGCAACGAUGCAUAGCCGACCUGAGAGGGGGAUUGGCCACACUGGAACUGAGACACGGUCCCGACUCCUACGGGAGGCCGCAGUAGGGAAUCUUCCGCAAUGGGCGAAAGCCUGACGGAGCAACGCCGCGUGAGUGAUGAAGGUCUUCGGAUCGUAAAACUCUGUUAUUAGGGAAGAACAUAUGUGUAAGUAACUGUGCACAUCUUGACGGUACCUAAUCAGAAAGCCACGGCUAACUACGUG